rnacentral:rRNA from 1 species
CGUAAAGACGCAUGCAGGCGGCCUGUUAAGUCAGAUGUGAAAGACCCGGGGCGUUAACCUCGGAAAUUGCAUUUGUAAACUAGGCAGGCUAGAGUCUUGUAGAGGGGGGUAGGGAAGUUUACUAGGUGUAGCGGUGAAAUAGCGUAGAGAUCUGAAGGAAUACCAGUGGCGAAGGCGGCCCCCUCGGACAAAGACUGACGCUCAGAUGCGAAAGCGUGGGGAGCAAACAGGAUUAGAUACCCUGGUAG